CGCACGGGUGAGUAACGCGUAUGCAACCUACCCUGUACAGGGGGAUAACCCGGAGAAAUUCGGACUAAUAUCCCAUAAUAUUAUUUGGAGGCAUCUUUGGAUAAUUAAAGCUCCGGCGGUACGGGAUGGGCAUGCGUAACAUUAGCUGGUUGGUAAGGUAACGGCUUACCAAGGCUUUGAUGUUUAGGGGUCCUGAGAGGGUGGUCCCCCACACUGGUACUGAGACACGGACCAGACUCCUACGGGAGGCAGCAGUGAGGAAUAUUGGUCAAUGGGCGCAAGCCUGAACCAGCCAUCCCGCGUGCAGGAAGACGGCCCUAUGGGUUGUAAACUGCUUUUCCGAAAGGCGAAACUCAGCGACGAGUCGUUGAUUGACGGUAUUUUGGGAAUAAGCAUCGGCUAACUCCGUGCCAGCAGCCGCGGUAAUACGGAGGAUGCGAGCGUUAUCCGGAUUUAUUGGGUUUAAAGGGUGCGUAGGCGGAUUAAUAAGU
rnacentral:rRNA from 1 species